rnacentral:rRNA from 1 species
UACGUAGGGGGCAAGCGUUGUCCGGAAUCAUUGGGCGUAAAGAGCGUGUAGGCGGCCAGAUAAGUCCGCUGUGAAAACUCGAGGCUCAACUUCGAGCUGUCGGUGGAAACUAUUUGGCUAGAGUCCGGGAGAGGAGAGUGGAAUUCCUGGUGUAGCGGUGAAAUGCGCAGAUAUCAGGAAGAACACCCGUGGCGAAAGCGGCUCUCUGGAACGGUACUGACGCUGAGACGCGAAAGCGUGGGGAGCGAACAGG